ensembl:piRNA 21ur-3450 ncRNA
UCGAGCCGUUUUUAAUGUGCC